CCCUUAGAUGUCCUGGGCUGCACGCGCGCUACACUGAUGUGUCCAGUAAGCACCUAACCUAUUCCGAGAGGAGCGGGUAACCUUAGCAAAGCACAUCGUGAUGGGGAUAGAUUAUUGCAAUUAUUAGUCUUGAACGAGGAAUUCCUAGUAAGCACAAGUCAUCAGCUUGUGUUGAUUACGUCCCUGCCCUUUGUACACACCGCCCGUCGCUCCUACCGAUUGAAUGUUCCGGUGAGCUCUUCGGACUGCGCGGUCUGCAGUUUCUGCGUUCCGUGCGGAAAGUUGUGCAAACCUUAACAUUGAGAGGAAGGAGAAGGCGGAACA
rnacentral:rRNA from 1 species